AUUCAGCUGACGAGUUCCAAGUAGGACGAAAUGCGCAUCCUGGAU
rnacentral:hammerhead_ribozyme from 1 species